AGAGUUUGAUUCUGGCUCAGGAUGAACGCUGGCGGCGUGCUUAACACAUGCAAGUCGAACGGAGUUUUAACGGAAGUUUCGGAUGGAAGUUAGAACUUAGUGGCGGACGGGUGAGUAACGCGUGGGUAACCUGCCUCAUACAGGGGGAUAACAGUUAGAAAUGACUGCUAACACCGCAUAAUAUAGCGAAACCGCAUGAUUUUGCUAUCAAAUAUUUAUAGGUAUGAGAUGGGCCCGCGUCUGAUUAGCUAGUUGGUGGGGUAAAAGCCUACCAAGGCGACGAUCAGUAGCCGGCUUGAGAGAGUGACCGGCCACAUUGGGACUGAGACACGGCCCAAACUCCUACGGGAGGCAGCAGUGGGGAAUAUUGGACAAUGGGGGAAACCCUGAUCCAGCGAACCGCCGCGUGAGUGAAGAAGUAUUUCGGUAUGUAAAGCUCUAUCAGCAGGGAAGAUAAUGACAGUACCUGACUAAGAAGCCCCGGCUAACUACGUGCCAGCCGCUGC
rnacentral:rRNA from 1 species